UAAGGAAUAUUGGACAAUGGUCGCAAGACUGAUCCAGCCAUGCCGCGUGCAGGAAGACGGCCCUAUGGGUUGUAAACUGCUUUUGUACCAGAGAAAACCUAUCUACGUGUAGAUAGCUGAUAGUAUGGUAAGAAUAAGCAUCGGCUAACUUCGUGCCAGCAGCCGCGGUAAGACGAAGGAUGCAAGCGUUAUCCGGAUUCAUUGGGGUUAAAGGGUGCGUAGGCGGGCUAGUAAGUCAGUGGUGAAAUCUCUCAGCUUAACUGAGAAACUGCCAUUGAUACUGCAGGCCUAGAGUAUAGAUGACGUUGGCGGAAUAUGACAUGUAGUGGUGAAAUACUUAGAUAUGUCAUAGAACACCGAUUGCGAAGGCAGCUAACGAAACUAUAACUGACGCUGAGGCACGAAAGUGCGGGGAUCAAACA
rnacentral:rRNA from 1 species